UGCGGACUGAUUGGGUGUAAGCAUCUGUAGGCGGUUUUGGAAGUCUACAGUUAAAUCCCAGAGCUUAACUUUGGUUCAGCCGUAGAGUACUUCAAAGCUUGAGUAUGGUAGGGGUAGAGGGAACUUCUCGUGGAGCGGUGAAAUGCACAGAGAUGAGAAGGAACACCAGUGGCGAAAGCGCUCUACUGGGCCAUGACUGACGCUGAGAGAUGACAGCUGAGGGAGCGAAUAGGAUUAGAUACCCUAGUAGUCUCAGCCGUAAACGAUGGAUACUAGAUGUUGCCACAAGCAGUGUCGAAGCUAACGCGUUAAGUAUCCCACCUGGGGAGUACGUACGCAAGUAUGAAACUCAAAGGAAUUGACGGGAAUUGACACAAGUGGUGGAUUAUGUGGUUUAAUUUGAUGCAACGCGGAGAACCUUACCAGGGAUUGACAUGGUGAGAAUCUUUCCGAAAGGGAAGAGUGCCCUUUGGGGAACUCACACACAGGUGGUGCAUGGCUGUCGUCAGCUCGUGCCGUGAGGUGUUUGGUUAAGUCCAAUAACGAGCGCAACCCUUGUUUGCUGUUAAAUGUCUGCAAAGACUGCCAGUGUAAACUGGAGGAAGGAAAGGAUGACGUCAAGUCAGCAUGCCCCUUACGUCCUGGGCUACACACGUAAUACAAUGGGUGAGACAAUCAGAAGCGAUCUCGCGAGAGCUAGCGAAUCUGCUAAACUCAUCCUCAGUUCGGAUUGUAGGCUGCAACUCGCCUACAUGAAGCCGGAAUCACUAGUAAUCGCCAGUCAGCUAUAUGGCGGUGAAUACGUUCCUCAAUUUUGUACACACCGCCCGUCACACCACGAAAGUAAUGAUUGCCCAAAGUCGUUACCUUAACCUUUUUGGAGGGGGACGCCUACGCAGUCGUUGUAAUCAGGGUGAAGUCGUAACAAGUACCCGU
rnacentral:rRNA from 1 species